rnacentral:rRNA from 1 species
ACUCCUACGGGAGGCAGCAGUGGGGAAUAUUGCACAAUGGGCGAAAGCCUGAUGCAGCGACGCCGCGUGAGGGACGACGGCCUCGGUUGUAACCUCUUUCAGUAGGGAACAAGGCAUCAGUUUUGUUGGUGUUGAGGGUACUUGCAGAAGAAGCACCGGCUAACUACGUGCCAGCAGCCGCGGUAAUACGUAGGGGUGCAAGCGUUAUCCGGAAUUAUUGGGCGUAAAGAGCUCGUAGGCGGUUUGUCGCGUCUGUCGUGAAAGUCCGGGGCUCAACUCCGGAUCUGCGGUGGGUACGGGCAGACUAGAGUGAUGUAGGGAGACUGGAAUUCCUGGUGUAGCGGUGGAAUGCGCAGAUAUCAGGAGGAACACCGAUGGCGAAGGCAGGUCUCUGGGCAUUAACUGACGCUGAGGAGCGAAAGCAUGGGGAGCGAACAGGAUUAGAUACCCUGGUAGGAUAGCG